GUAUUUUUUGUCACUAAUAAUUUCACCUCGUUGUCUCCCCUCGGCUGUUGCAAAUGUUGUCUGAACAUGUCAGCUGGUCGCGUGCCUUUAACUUAUCAUUCUUCAAGAAGACAGCUCGUGUGUUUGUGUUUGUGUCUGGAUGCUGAGUUUUGUGUGUGUGUGUUUCAGAGGCUGCAUGGAGGAGGGAGGUGGGGGAGGAGGGGUGACUCUGGACAGCUGGUCUUCUUUCUCUCCCAACAUCCCUCCUCCUCCUCUUUCUUUUUGUAGCUCAGAGGUUGUUUCACUGCAGAGCAAAGCAGAUGGCUUCACUGAUCGUUGCAUAUAAAGUCAUUUAAAUGGAUCCAUUCUGACUAUUUGGAUAUUAAUUCACCACCUGACUGAUUCUCUGAAUAGUUUUAUGAUUACUUUUUCAGUAGAGUGACAACAUCCAACUAUACCGAUUGACUGGUUCUUAGGCUGUUUUAAUGCUGACUGGUUGAAUUCAGAUCAACAUCUUCUGGACGAACGAAUUUCGACUGACACGAUGUUGACCAUCUCAGUGCUCCUGCUGCCGUUGCUCCUCUCCUCUCCUCCUGCCUCCUCCUCUCCUCUACCCAAGCUGUGAGGUUGAUAUGUAGGUUCCUGUUAUGCAGUGGUGGAAGAAGUACUCAGAUUCUUUACUUCUGAAGGAAGAGUUAGAGGACACCAGGGAGGAAGAGGAGGAGGAAGAUCAGUAUGGAGAGCAGUAAGAGGUGAAG